rnacentral:rRNA from 1 species
UACGUAGGGUGCAAGCGUUGUCCGGAAUUAUUGGGCGUAAAGAGCUCGUAGGCGGUUUGUCGCGUCGGCUGUGAAAACUCGGGGCUCAACCCCGAGCCUGCAGUCGAUACGGGCAAACUUGAGUGCGGUAGGGGAGACUGGAAUUCCUGGUGUAGCGGUGAAAUGCGCAGAUAUCAGGAGGAACACCGGUGGCGAAGGCGGAUCUCUGGGCCAUUACUGACGCUGAGGAGCGAAAGCGUGGGGAGCGAACAGG